ensembl:lncRNA
CAGGAACCAAAAGUACCCGGUUUAGAAACGCCCAUUGAAGCGUGAAACGGGCAGACACUAGGACACACAAAUAACCCAGCCAAUCGCGUCACUCUUGACUUGUGAGUUGUGGUCGAUAACCUACCUCGUUGAAGCGUUCUAGACGAGGUGAAUGGAUAUUCACAAUGCAUCGACUGCUGGAGCGGUUCUGAAGUUACAAUCGAAGACGACUCACACCACACAUUGGACUGCUCUUUCAACUUUGAACCAUGAGUCUCACCUUCAGACUGUAGAUGUGGCUUUCCUAAGAACCAACAGGAAACCUGACAAAACAGGCUGAAUGGGCAGGGAGCUUAUAUUCAUGAGCUCACCUUGACUGACGGCUCUUUGAAACACCCUUGUGGUCGUUGCCAGUUAACAAGACUUUAGGUAUUGCAGCCAACUACAGAGAUUGAUGGUGAGAGGAGCUGCAGAGGAGGGAGACCCAGGUACCCCGCAUCAAUCAAGCAGACUUUAGUCACUUACUUGAAUUCAGUCACCCACUUGGCUUCAGUCUUCCCCAAGAUGAAAGCAGGAGACAAAUCCAGCUGUGGCCUCCUCCUUGUCAGGCCUCUCACACUGGGCAGACAGGCGUCCUGUGAUGGGCAGCUCGCACAGCUUCCCCACAUACGGUGCUGGAUCAAGGGUGACCUCGCUGGGGAGGAGAUCCAGGAGCCCUUCUACGUAGCCUGUAAUGUUUUUGAAAUGUUUGUUAAAUGGGGAGUGAAUUGAAUUUCCUUUUAUUUACUGUUCUGAGUUAUGAUGCUAUCAAUUUAUUGAUGUAGUGAUCUACUCAUUCUACAAUGUGUUUUCUGGUAUUUUUGAAAUACUCAAUUUGAAAUAUGCAAUAUCUGGUCGUGCACUUUUUUGUGAAACUUUUCAAUGUUUGUAUUUGGAAAUUUGUUGUGCCUGAAAUGCUCAAUUGAUUUGAAGUGAAUAACUAAAAAUAAUAAUUGAUCACAUUUAUAUAGCGCCUUUCAUAGAUUCUCAACGUGCUCCAAGAGCAAAAAACAGACCAGCAAUAUAUGACAGGUCAACCAAUAUGACUUACAGUAUGUUUGGUCUGUUGUCACAGGCUUCUCAGCAUAUCCCGUCUUCUUUGCCUUGGGAAAACUGAUUUUGUAUCACAGCAUUCCUGCUGGUGUGUUUGCCUGGGAAGCUGUGCAGACAGAGUAGAUGUUGAAUUUUCUAAAAUAUCUAUCAUUAUAGCUUGAUGAUAGUGGGAAAGACAAACGGAUAUGGAAAGUGUGAUAAUAAUACCCAACAAACUCUUUUUAUGGUCAACAUUCCUGCGUGUCGGCUGUGUGCUGGCACUACUCAGACGCAACGUAGGGGGCUGAAAGCCAAUUUUAUGUUUGAUCUGAAAAUGUGGUCGGCGGCUCCAUAUGGAUUGUCUGACGCAAUCGCGGUACCUCCAGAGGCACGCGGACGACAAAUUGAGCUCUGAACAGCAAAUAUUGUAACCAUGCGGAGGCUCCGUAUAGCUUCGCAUUGACAUGAUUGGUUGAUGGUAGGUGGGGGUGGGAGGUCCAGUAUAAGCACACACUCACUUCUUUGACAACUUUCCUCACAACAGCUCUGUGAAGCUCAAUAAUUAUGAAUGCCCUUACUUCUGCGGAGGCCGUAUCACCCUAAAUGCUGCACUGCCAAUGCUGGCGUCGUAGUGACUUAACAGGUGUGUUACAGAAAAUAUAUCGUUCACAAGUCAAAACGGCCACAGCCACCGAGUCAGACUCAUCAAACUCUGAUACUUACAUUAUGGUCAGCCCUUGCAAGAUCCACUGUCAAUAAUGGCACAGCGUCAGUCUUCAGGUUUAGCUUCCUGGCAAGACCUAUCGAAUGUCCUCACCAGUUUAUAAAGCAACUUCGCUCUAAAUGUACACUGCACUAACAUGAUCGUAAUUUUCAGUGGAGCCUGAAAUGAAAAGCAGCCACUGCUGUCAAAUGUUAAUUCUUCGGAAAAUAGUGUAACUUUUUAAAUGAACGCUAUGGCAUCCAGUCACAACAUUGUGCUUUUUCUGCCAUGCUGGUAAGUACAGUAGCUAGCUAGCUAAAAGGCACAACACAUGAAAAGGGUUUAGUUUGCUUGAGCUAUCUUACAGUUCGUAAACAAAGCCAUAUAAUGCGCACGUGAUGACGGUUUUGAGGCGUUACAUAUUUAAAUGAGUUAAGAUUAUAAGAUGCUCUCCAGAGUGGAGCAGCGCUCUAAGGCACUGCGUCGCAGUGCUUGAGGUGUCACUACAGACCCGGGUUUGAUCCCAGGCAGUGUCACAACUGGCCGUGACCGGGAGUCCCAUAGAGUGGUGCACAAUUGGCCCAGCGUUGUCCAGGUUAGGGGAAGGUUUGGCUGGGUGGGCUUUACUUGGCUCAUUGCGCUCUAGCGACUCCUUGUGCAGGCUGACUUCGGUCGUCAGUUAAGUGAUGCUUCCGCCGACACAUUGGUGCUGCUGGCUUCUAAAACGACAUUCAUCAUAAAAAGUAAAAAAUAGAACUGUCAAACAUCCUUUCUCCCAUUGAAGUUUAUAUGUAAGAAUUGCAAGAAAAAUCUAUUGUGUGUGUCAAUGACUACGUGCCUAUGGUUUUGAUGUCCAUGUUUAAUAAUGCCUGCUGUGUGUUUGUGGCUGCAAUAUAUCAGGCCAUUUAAAACUGAGUUCAAACUGAUACAUUGGUGCCAUUUAAUUAUUAUUAUUUUUAAUUAACCAAGUGCUCCUGACCAUUAAAAUCGCCAUAAAGGCUAACCUUCC